GAACUUAAGCAUAUCAAUAAGCGGAGGAAAAGAAACCAACAGGGAUUGCCUCAGUAACGGCGAGUGAAGCGGCAAAAGCUCAAAUUUGAAAUCUGGCUCCAUGCGGAGCCCGAGUUGUAAUUUGGAGAGGACACUUCGGGUGCGGCCACGGCAUAAGUUCCUUGGAACAGGAC
rnacentral:rRNA from 1 species